CGACUCUCGACUUUUACUCUCGACUCUCGACCUUUACUCUCGACUCUCGACCCUCGACUUUUAGAUACACUCGAUUGCAUGUUCGAUCCAAAAAAACUAUUAUUGGACGCUGACCGAAUAUUGAGAAUUAUCCGGUGCUUUCUGACCAACCAGGGACGAGAAUACAUACUAAAUGAAUAAUAAUUAAAAUUAUUUUGAAUUGGAACACCAACAUGGCGG